GCUCCACCUCUUCCCAUUCCGAACAGAGAAGUUAAACCUUAUCACGCCGAUGGUACUGCGAAAGCGGGAGAGUAGGUAAUCGCCCCCU
rnacentral:rRNA from 1 species